rnacentral:rRNA from 1 species
GACGAACGCUGGCGGCGUGCUUAACACAUGCAAGUCGAACGGAAAGGCCCUGCUUUUGUGGGGUGCUCGAGUGGCGAACGGGUGAGUAACACGUGAGUAACCUGCCCUUGACUUUGGGAUAACUUCAGGAAACUGGGGCUAAUACCGGAUAGGAGCUCCUGCUGCAUGGUGGGGGUUGGAAAGUUUCGGCGGUUGGGGAUGGACUCGCGGCUUAUCAGCUUGUUGGUGGGGUAGUGGCUUACCAAGGCUUUGACGGGUAGCCGGCCUGAGAGGGUGACCGGCCAAAUUGGGACUGAGAUACGGACCAGACUCCUACGGGAGGCAGGAGUGGGGAAUAUUGCACAAUGGGCGGAAGCCUGAUGCAGCAACGCCGCGUGCGGGAUGACGGCCUUCGGGUUGUAAACCGCUUUCGCCUGUGACGAAGCGUGAGUGACGGUAAUGGGGAAAGAAGCACCGGCUAACUACGU